rnacentral:lncRNA from 1 species
GCUGACUUUUACAGACACAUCUUCGAACUAUUAAGCUAAGUAAUAUCCAAACUAUUUUUUAUUGUUGUGGAAGCAUGUGGUGGAUGCUGUGGUAUGCCUUCUGCGUUGCCCCUUCAGGUCUGAAGCGUGCAUUUCCACACCUGCGAGAAGUAUUGGCUGUAGACAUUUCAUGGCUGAGUACCACUUUGGAGAUUGCUCUAGAAUAAAGGGAGCUGCUUUGCUCAAGGUUAUACCCUCUUACUGGAGUUAGCUCACAUCAAAGAACUGGUCUAUGCAGAUGUACGAAGACCUGGCCUUUUUGUCUCAAUUCUGGAAAACUUGGAAGAGCCAUUCUAGCUCCUGGGCUCUUGAAGGACUGGCUAAGACCUGUUAGAAUUGCACACUGACGUUCAACUUCCCCCUCUGUCCAAUUCUUAUUUCUCAUUCUUUUAUAAGUAUUGUUCCAUCUUAGAAUCUGUUUCCUAGGGAACCCAAUUUAAACACCAGUUAGAAUGUCUGAGGAAGCAGAAUCUAAAAUGCAACUUUGAAGCUGGAUCCCUUGCUGGCUGCAGGGAAAUGAGAACCCUGCCACUGGUAUUAGGUGGGGAAAUGAUAGCCCCUAGCAUGCUAUAGCAGUGCAGUUGUUAGAACUUUUACAAGUUCUGAGCUGGAAUAGGACACGAGUGGAAGAUGUGCUGUUCUUGACGUCCUUACUUCUGUCCUCAGAAUCAUAUCUUCGCAUCUGAAAGAAGGCAACAGCAUUGAGCAACAAUCUGGGACUCUAUUUGAUAUCUUCCCUUGAGAAGUGUUAAAUGUUGCCAUAAUCUUGACAGUUCAAAAGUUAGUCAUGUGGUUGAUAUUUUACCAAUGAGAUGAAUGUGACUGUAAUAUGGGCAAAUCCCACCUACCAUAAAAGCUGGCAAUACUUGCCUAAUAUUGAAGGAAGGAGACAUUUAGAGCAAGCCAGGAAGCUGGAACACCGGAUCAGGAACAGACACUUCUCCGCAAGUUUAGAGUUUGGUAUUUCUCAAGUCCUGGCCUGAGGGAUGUUUACUCUCAGGUUAUACAAAGUCCCAGCUUGGGUUCUGGAAAAAUUGAACUGACAACUUUGCCUGAAAGAAGUUUCUUGCUAACUCCUAGGUACAUCUUGAUUUUAUUAGACCAUGGCUAUUAUUGUGAGGUUUAUUCAGAGCAAUGAAGAUGUCACUCACCGUGUCAAAUUCAUAGGUAUGGUGGCCUUUAUUACCUGGCAACAUGCAUUUUGUUAUACAUCAAAUCCAUGUAGGGCCAUAUUAUCUGGAUCUCAGAUGUUACUGAGAAAUGUUGUAAGGUAAAUAGAUUUUUUGGGGAAUAUCUUGGACUUAGCACACUUUACUUAAUAGAAAUAUAUUUAUUGUCUUCACUUUUAAGUUACUCUGCCACUUUGCCAUUCAACCUCUAUUGGCUCUUUAUUAACUUCAAUUAGAUUUUUCCUUCUCUUUUCCUUUAGAGAUAAAAUUAAAUAAAAAUAAAAACUUCUAAAGCAAACUCUAUUCCUUUAUAAAUACUGUCUAAACGUGCCAGUGGUGUGUCCAAUUUUAGACACAAGAGCUUAAAGUUGAAUGCAAAUUUUGAUUUUCUUUAUAAAUGAGAUGAUGAAAAUCUAUUGUGAAAAGGUUAUGAGAAAAAAGCUUAUCUUGUAAUUGCAGCCAAGAUCCAAGCCAUUAUUUAAGACGUGAAGCAUUUGGCAACAAAGAGAUUGUUGUCAUUAAAAAGGAAGCCCAACGCAUUAUUCUUGGGCUGAGAAAAAAUAAUUUAGCUGUCAUUGUUAUUUAAGGAGUAACACCGGAAGAUGGGAGACAUUAAAAUAAGCAGCUUUACCUCAAGAAGUGUAAUAUCUUCUUUUCCCUCUAAGAUGCAGAGGUAGUUAAUAAACAUUUGAUGAUUGAUUUAAACAUAUUAGAGAGAGAUUCACUUGUUAGUAUUUAUCAUCUAGCUAAAUUGUAUUUUUUUAAUGUAUACAACUGAGAUGAAGCCAAUAGAACUUUACCACAGUGGUUGUAAAGAGAUAAGAAAUUAUUAUUUCUCAUUAUACCAUCAGCAGACUGAGGUCUGUAACUUGAUACUUAUGCAAAAGAUUACUAAAUUGGUAGCUAUUCUUAUAAAAUAUUCACUUUAGGAAAGAAGGUGAGAAUGAGGCCACUGACGUCAUCUUGGCUUGGUUUACUUAAGCCUGGGCAAAGAGGGAAAAGGGCACUGGAGAUUU